AGAAGGGAAAUGAAGAAGAGUACUGUCAUUUAUUAAUACGUUGCCGUUUAAGUCUUGUUGCUUUGUACUAAAAGAUACAGCCCAAUACUAGGGUUCAUCAUCCAAAGAAAUACAAUUUCAGAUCUAAUCCUCCCUUCUCUCUCUGUUUCCUCUUUUCUCUUCCCCAAACUCUCGAUAAUUUUCUUGGUUCGUGUUUAAGGAUGAUUGCGCUCCAAUUUGUUGAUCCCCUUGGGUCGUUAAGAGCUUAUCUCACUUGAUUCUUGUUCCCAGAUCUGGCCUCUUAAGGACGGAGACCGGUUUUCUCUGUGGUUUAUGCUCAAUUCGUCCUGCGGAGUUGCAAUCUUGCUGGUUCAAGUCAAGGAUGCUCUAGGACGGCUCCUCUUUCUCGAUCUCGAGCUUGUUCGUCACUCCCUGAAGUUCUCCUGUCAAUCCUCUGGUUAGCGACCUCUUCCAUUUUGGUAAGGCUAGGGAUUGGACAUCUUUUUCCAGCGCAGCCUAAGAGAUGUUUUAAAAAGGUCCCAACACUUACAGUUGAGUUUAAGGUAUUGAUAUAGUGAGAGAACUAGUUGUCUUUCUACAGGGAGAGUAUCUUGACCAGACCUAUGAUAGCAUAUCAGUAUUUUCUUCCGGUGAGAUAACCAUGAGGCAGUUUUUGGAGCAGAAGAAAGCAUGAAAGAGUAAGGCAAGGAAGAAGAAUUUUUUUGAUAAACCCUAUAAGACAAGGAAGAAGAAUUGAAAUCAAAAGAGUUAAUUAAGCCAAGUUCUUUCUUAAUGAUUGUUAUCUACUUUGUUUUAAUUAUGUUUUUUGGAGGAUGAUGUAAUUUUAUAUUUAAUAAUGUUUUAAUUUUAUUUUGUAAUA